rnacentral:rRNA from 1 species
GACGAACGCUGGCGGCGUGCUUAACACAUGCAAGUCGAACGGAAAGGCCCUGCUUUUGUGGGGUGCUCGAGUGGCGAACGGGUGAGUAACACGUGAGUAACCUGCCCUUGACUUUGGGAUAACUUCAGGAAACUGGGGCUAAUACCGGAUAGGAGCUCCUGCUGCAUGGUGGGGGUUGGAAAGUUUCGGCGGUUGGGGAUGGACUCGCGGCUUAUCAGCUUGUUGGUGGGGUAGUGGCUUACCAAGGCUUUGACGGGUAGCCGGCCUGAGAGGGUGACCGGCCACAUUGGGACUGAGAUACGGACCAGACUCCUACGGGAGGCAGCAGUGGGGAAUAUUGCACAAUGGGCGGAAGCCUAAUGCAGCAACGCCGCGUGCGGGAUGACGGCCUUCGGGUUGUAAACCGCUUUCGCCUGUGACGAAGCGUGAGUGACGGUAAUGGGUAAAGAAGCACCGGCUAACUACGUG